CCCGUCCCCCAGUGAUGAGACAGCUGAGUAGGGGGGUACAGGGGUCCCUCCCCAGAUACCCAACAUAUACUGGAUAUAUAAUACAAGAUAACUAGAUAUAUCCAACAUCACCUAGAACUAUAUACAGCUGGAGAAUGGAUGAUCUUGAACCUAGUUAUGAGUACUCCGCUACUGGGUUCCCGGUCAACCGACCCAUUCAAUACUUCGCAAUCACCUUCAGAACUCCGAACAUAAUAAGACUGAUAAACGUUGACCAGCAUAUUGCUAGCUGUGUACAGGAGAGGGUAGAACAGCUUCUACCCCUGGAGAAGUAUGGUUAUGUUUGUUUUAGUGAUUACCAAUCAGGGUUCACUGGUCGGUUUAAUAUAUUUGAUCUGGUGCUGGAGAAACCAUUCUUCAAAGGAGAGACAGCUGUAGGCAAGGAGGAUUCAACUCUGAUCAGGGUUGCAGUUUGCAGGGUUCUGGGUGCUCUUUACUGUAUUGGGUAUGAUAUUGUGUUCUGCAGUGAUGUAUCUAGAACCCGGAGCAACGGAACCAUAUUCCUCAAGAUACGGGAUCCAGUGGUGGAUGUUAUCGCAACACAUUAUUAUUCUCAUAAGUUUGUGUGCGUAGCUCCGUACAGUACAGAUACCCUUCUCCUAAUCAAUAUACCGAAAACUAUGCUGGAAAAAGUAAUAAAGAUCAUCCAUUUAACCUGGAGCCCAGGGGUCAAAUCAAAACAAACCCUGGCAGACGACAAUAGAAGCGUGAGCGUGAUAACAAGCCUCAAGAUACACGGCAAUCCUUGGUCUCAGGCUGUAUAUAACAGUGGGAAGGCUAGUGUCCAGGCUCGACUUGUAUUCCUGGAGAUUAUCAAGAUAUUCGCGGAGAAUAAUUGGAGACUAGCUGCUAACCUCAACCUGGAGUCAACUGCAGACUCUUUAGUCUUCCAAUGGUGUCCUAACCUAGAUAUGGAUGAGUUCAGGUUUUGUGCUGUAUCCUUGAACCGAUAUGACCGGCUGCGUCUGGUUCGGACUCCUCUAGGUCUGGUUGGUGCUAUUAAGGAGGCGGUUAUCAAGCAUUGGUACCUGGGUCUGCAGAAGCAACGAGACUACCAUGGAUCUGUAGAGUUUAAACUAGGAGGGUGUCCCUGGUGGGCAGAUUCAAACGAUUCUGUAGAAUCUAGAUAUUUUGUCUCAACCCUGAUUGGUAUACUGAAAGUGAAUGGGUGGCAGGUUGCAGGAACUAUUGAUCUCACAAGGAGGAACAACGACAAAUCAACCUUUAUCCUUCGGCAGUGUGUUGCGAAGAUACAACCACAUAUGUGUAUCUCAUUAAACAAAACGAACAGGAUAAGGUUAAUAGUGAGUAGCACUGACAUAUCAGAGGAAGCUGAGCUAAGGUUGACGAGUCGGCUCAAUGAAACCAUUAAAAACUACUGGGUUGCUCUAGGUCCGAGAAAUUACGGGAAGAGCAUAGAAUGGAAACUUGAAGGAGAUCCCUGGGUUUCUGAGGGAUUGUACAGUGACUCAACCAGAGGAGUUUAUCUACUCUGUCUUAUACUCCAGGCUAUAACUCCACUUGGUUGGAGACCAACUGCAAGUGCAGAUGUGGCAUCUAAAAACUUGGACUCCAAUGAAAGGUAUUCAUACGAGGGAUUAAGUGAAGAUAUGCAUUCAUGGUUCUUCUUGUACGAUGAGAAACUUGCUGCUAGGAAUGAGGAAAUGCACAAGCAGGUUUCGUUGUCGAACAAGGAUAUUUGCUCCAGCACUUCAGUUCCUAACCUAGAGGUUGAUAGAAGUGAAGAGAACUUGUACUACGGAGAUGCCCCGACACGACCUGUGUCUGCUAGUCUCCAGAACAACCCUGAGCUGAGUAGGUCUGUUCCAGGUAUUCCAGCAGCUACAGCUGGAGCUGGUCAUCACAAUAAUCAGCAGACAACAAACUCCUGGGUUCUCAGGAAAUGUGCUCCCAGAGCUCCCGGACUGGGAAAUUUACCUCGGCAGAAAUCAUUAGACAGUAGUUUAGCUGCUGUUCAGCUUGCCAUGCAGGGAUCCUCCAACAAUACACAAGGAUCUGUAUCUAAUAUUUACAACCAGUCUUUGUACAACUCUACAUUCUCUACUUUCCGUGGGAAGGAGAGACAUUGCUACGCAACAAGACAUGGAGAAAGAAGGAAACAUGAAGGAAAACAUGCAGUUACAAACAUGGAUGGAUACAAAUCAGAUGGAUAUAAAUCAGAUGGAUACAAAUCCGACGGAGAUGGGUAUAAGAGUGAUGGAGCUGGAUACAAGAGUGACGGAGAACGUGUCAAGCAUAGAGCUAGAUACUCCAGUCCUGCUAAACAACCCAGUAAAUACGAGCAGGAUAGGCUGACCACUCGCCGACUCCAGGCUAACGGAGAUCAGAUGAAAACCCAAAUAAGAGCUCAUGACUAUAACCGGGAUAUUCCAGUCAAUCGAGAACAGGUUGCAAGCCGGAGCAGCAGCAGGGGCGGAUACAGAAGCGAUCCAGAACAUGAAAUAGAAAUACAGCUUCAGUGCAUGGGAUCCCAGCAUGAUGAUUCAGGGGGUAGUCAGCACAGCCAGAGAGGAUACAGUGUGGACGAGGAAGAUAAAGGAGACUGGACAAGACAGGAGCAAGCGCUGAGAAGUCAGGAACCGUUAGAAUCUAGAUCGCACAGCAGGAACGGAUACAAGAGUGAUGGAAGCUUACAGGAGUCCCCUCUCCAUCCCCAGAUUGGAAAGUGUGAAGGAAUGCAUCCUGCAGGAUGCAACAACAGCAGGGGUAUGCGUAGGGGGUUUCUUCAGGGUAGCAUGCAAAGUCAUUCCUCGUCUCAUUUGAACACUCACUACACAAAUCAGCAUCAGAGGUUGCUGAUGCAUCCGACUAAACAUCUGGAGGCAUCACGUUCAUUUCAUACUUUCCAGAGACAAGAAUCCACAACCUCAUUCCACUCAACUCACAGUGCUCCAAACCCACCUCAUCACAACCAAAAUCUGAUGGUUAAUAAUAUCGAGUCAGCAUCACAAGCUAGCACACACUCCCACUCAUCCUCGUCUUCCGCUAGCGUUGGCCCACCUGAAUACAGCGCAGUUAUUCAUCCUCCACCUACUUACGAUCAAGCUCUUAUCAAGCUAGAUAUAGCAAUGAGACGGAGAGCAGCAAAUAAGAACAGAAUUGCACAGCAGCAUAAAGGUACCUAUAACAGUCUUCACUACGUUGGAGAAUUUUAUGGAUAGCAAUCAGAGUUAGGGGUUCAAGAUCAUCAGAGAUAAGAACCUCAGGAUUGUAGAGAUAAAGGAGUAUAGGGACUACAGAAAAGUAAAGUUAUGGAGGAUAGGAGUUUCAGGGUAGCACAGGUAUAGGGUUACAGGGUAGCAGAGGUACAAAGUUACAAGGUAGCAGUGAUAUGGGGUUAUAGGAUCGAUACCAGAGGUACAGGGUUACAGGAUAGCAGAGGUACAGGGUUACAGGAUAGCAGAGGUACAGGGUCGCAGGUAAAAAGAGGUACAGAGUUCCGGAGGUUUACAGAGUUAAAGGAUACCAAAGGUACAGGAUUCCAGGAUAGCAGAGGUAUAGGAUUACAAGUGCAUAUAUAUAGGGUUACAUGUUAGCAGAGGUACAGGGUUACAGGAUACCAGAGUUUUAGGGUGACAAGACAGUAGAGGUUUAGGGUUACAGGAUCGUAGAGGUAUGUGGCUCCAGAAUAAUAAAUGUAAAGGGCUUCGGUAUAGUAUAUGUACAGGGCUCCAGGAUAGUAUAUGAAAAGGGCUCUCGGAUAGUAUUUAAAAAGGGCUCCAGGAUAGCAUAUGAAUAGGGCUCCGGGAUAGUAUAUAGAGGGCUCCAGGAUAGUAUAUGAAAAGGGCUCCCGGAUAGUAUUUGAAAAGGGCUCCAGGAUAGUAUAUGAAUAGGGGUUCAGGAUAGUAUAUAGAGGGCUCCAGGGUAGUAUAUAUAGGGCUCCGGGAUAGUAUAUGUACAGGGCUCCGGGAUAGUAUAUGAAUAGGGCUUUGGGAUAGUAUAUAUAGGGCUCCAGGGUAGUAUAUGAAUAGGGCUCUGGGAUAGUAUAUGUACAGGGCUCCGGGAUAGCAUAUGAACAGGGCUCCAGGAUAGUAUAUAUAUAGGGCUCCAGGAUAGUAUAUAUACAGGGCUCCAGGAUAGUAUAUGAAUAGGGCUCCAGGAUAGCAUAAUGAAUAGGGCUCCGGGAUAGUAUAUGUACAGGGCUCCGGGAUAGUAUAUGGAUAGGGCUCCGGGAUAGCAUAUGUAUAGGGCUCCAGGAUAGUAUAUGAAUAGGGCUCCGGGAUAGUAUAUGGAUAGGGCUCGAGGAUAGUAUAUGUACAGGGUUUUAAGAUAAUAGAGACAUGAAGAAUUAUGAGUUGGUAGAACAGGAAGGAUGUAUAAGGUGAUGCAGAAAGGAAAGAAAGUGUGUUGUAAGAUGAACCCCUGAUCUGGAUUUCUGUAAAGAUUAGUUUGUUAGAUACAUAUUUGCUCUUGUGGGAGAGAUAGUUGAUGCAUUGCUUUUUUCAACCCAAUUUUUUCAUAAUGCGUCUAGCACGCCAAUACCCUGAGCUUUUUCUUACUGUAAAGAUACCCAUAUUUAUAUAUAUAUAUAUUGAUCAUCUACAUUGCAAUAUUGCAUGUUUGAAAAGAUGCAUGCUCAGAGCAAAAAAAUUUAAAUCAUCCAAAAUUUAAAAUAAUUUCUAACAAUAAUUAAAAUAUGUAAACUAUUGUGAAAACU